GAUGAAGAACGUAGUGAAAUGCGAUACUUGGUGUGAAUUGCAGAAUCCCGUGAACCAUCGAGUCUUUGAACGCAAGUUGCGCCCGAAGCCAUUAGGCCGAGGGCACGCCUGCCUGGGCGUCACACGUCGUUGCCCCCCCAUCUACUCCUUCGGGAUUGCGGGGGGCGGAUGAUGGCCUCCCGUGCGCCUCGCCGCGCGGUUGGCAUAAAUGCCAAGUCCUCGGCGACGCACGCCACGACAAUCGGUGGUUGCGAAACCUCGGUUGCCCGUCGUGUGCGGUCGUCGCGCAUCGAGGGCUCGAAAAAAUUGCCGGGUUCCGGCUCGGCUUUCAACGCGACCCCAGGUCAGGCGGGGUUACCCGCUGAAUUUAAGCUUAUCAAUAAGCGGAGGA
rnacentral:misc_RNA from 1 species